AUGCAAUCUCAGCAUGGUGUGAAAGCACUAACACAAGUAUGACACACUGAGUUAUUCACUCUUAAUAUGUGUAUUCAUUUGCUGCUUAAACAGGUAAAGGAAGAUGCACGACUACGGAUGUUUUUCAAAGAAAUGUCCUACAGCUCCUUCAAGAACUUGGCUGAUGCCUAUGUCAGCAAGGAAAUGACAGCCAGCAGGUCCAACAUUAACCCUGAAGAAAUCCAGUUUGCCUUUGCUGUACACCUCACUGCCAAGGUAGCAGGCAUCUGUAACCAGGCAGUGAACAGGAUCAUGGGCUUUGGCACGCGAUACCUGGAAGAUUYGUUUGCACCGUUGUCCUAUAGCAAAAUUCUUCAGGACAGAGGAAAGUUCAACACAGAGAAUUGCGAGAGCCCAGACUGAAAUCGGCUGCUCCAAAGUGUGCUUUCCCAACCAUGGCUGGUGCCUAUCGUGUCUGCGAACUGAAGGAUGCAGAUUUACCAAUGUGGGGAGCAAUCCCUGUAGUUGAUCUGAAUCUGCCGUAAUUUGUGACCUGUGGAUUUAAAAUCCUCUAAGGAAAACAAUGGUAAUAGACACAGCAGCAUGAAAUGCUUAAAAGCUACCUAACUGGGACAACGACAUAGUCUGUAAUUCAAACAUAUCCCAGAUUUCUAGAGUUGCCCUAUAUUUGCAUUUUAGCUCUCAUCUGAUGCAUAUGUUUUACCUGAUGGUUUGUUUGUGUAUGUGUAUUUAUAUACCUGCUUUUCCAUAUGUAUGUGUGUAUGUGCAAUAUAAUUUAUAUAGCUUCUGUUGCCAAGCAAAGAGCCAGUUCAGAAAAGUCCAUAAAAAUGCUUAAGUGCUGCGCAGAUGUGCACAUGCUCCCUUCUUGAAUAUAAUGCUGUAUUGAAAGCGCCAGCAAUCCAGUUGUCAUGGCUUUUAUUUAUCAUCUGUAGGGGCUCUGGGGGGGUUUGGCUGCCAGGGCUCAGGACCAGCUUAGUGUCCUCCCAUCUGGCCCUGAGGUCCCACAGGGAGCAGCUGACCCCUGCUGCUCCCUGACAUCUUUGUUAAUUGUGUCAUUUGGAAAGGGAUGGCAGAUGUUAUAUUUCAUGUCUUUAGUUCUUCUCCCAGCUCUGGUGAUCUGGAUGAGAUCUUGGGGGAGAUGAAAUGUCUGUAUCUGUCACUCUCAAGCUGCUCAUGUCCUUCUGGAGCAUCUGCAGSCAGCUGUUCUUGGAGACAGGAUGCAGGGCAAGACUGAC
rnacentral:lncRNA from 1 species